CGAGGAAAAAAUUGCCAACUUAGAAGUUCGUGCCUUAGGGAUUGAUUCUCAGUUAGAUGCAAUGAAAGUUAUGGGAACCCACAACAAUUAUAAUGCUGUUGUUGCUGUACUGUCUCUUGUUGGAUUGGGAAUUGGAGUUGAUGUUGAAGCCAUUGAUUCAACUAUUGAAAAGCUAAGGCCACCUCUUCACCGAAUGCAAAUUGUUACAACGGGAAUUUCUUUCCCUACAUGGAGGAUUUUUCAUGUACAUGACCUGGAUGAUUAGCUAUGCCCCGAAGUUCUCCCUGACUCACUCAUUGCAGUAUUUGAUUCUGACCCUUGCGAGGUACCUCAUGCAAGCCUUCGUCUUUGAAACAAGUUUUCCACACGAUCUCUAAAGUGUACAUGUUGUCUCUUUCAUUUUUUUAAAUUCCUCCGGGUGGUUGAGGAGGACGAGUCGAUCGAGUAGUUGGUUGUUCAUAUGGGUUUCCCAUAUUCUUAUGAAAAGUUGCCAAAAUAUUUUGUCAUGUUUGUCUAGAAGUUAUAGCACUUGAGUUUUGGGGAUUCUCCCUAUCGACAUGAACUUCCCUGGAUCGGCCUGGUUGUUGUUCAUGUGGAUGAGAAGGGUUAUUUUGAUUGUUCUCUUUGACAUGGGGAUCUUGUGCUCUCAACAACGAGGCCUCCCUCACAAUUGUCUAAUUGGAGGUUCAUCUUGUGUAGGAGGUGCAUUAUUUGGGUCUGUCCUUGCAGCAGCAGCCUCACAUUGUAAUUCACCGUUCCUUCAGUUUGACUCUACAAGUCUGUCAAAUUUGAUGAUUUUCCAAUUCUACAAUUGGUAUCUAGUGGGGUUAUAUAAGCAUCAGAGUUUCUUUAUUCUAGUAUUUCUUCCCCAUAAUUUACAUUUCUCCCAAAAUCCCAUUCGAUAAGAUUUCCUCUUUCAUUAUGGCCUUUUUAGGGCAGAGUUCCCUGUGGUUCUUUUCCUUGGCGAUGUACUGCCUCCUCAUGUCCGACAUUGUUAUUCUGUGAAUUAUUUUUCAUGUUGGGAAAAUAUUCAGGUUUUU